UACGUAGGGGGCUAGCGUUGUCCGGAUUUAUUGGGCGUAAAGAGCGUGUAGGCGGCCAGGUAGGUCUGCUGUGAAAACUCGAGGCUCAACCUCGAGACGUCGGCGGAAACCAUCUGGCUAGAGUCCGGAAGAGGAGAAUGGAAUUCCUGGUGUAGCGGUGAAAUGCGCAGAUAUCAGGAAGAACACCCGUGGCUAAGGCGGUUCUCUAGUACGGUACUGACGCUGAGACGCGAAAGCGUGGGGAGCGAACAGG
rnacentral:rRNA from 1 species